AAUGAACGUUGGCGGCGUGGAUUAGGCAUGCAAGUCGUACGGGUCGGUGUAGCAAUACAACGGCAAGUGGCGAAAGGGAGAGUAACACGUAGAUACCUACCCUCUGGUCGGGGAUACCGCGGCAUAACCGCAAGUAAUACCCGAUAAAAUCUCCGGAUCAAAGGUGUGAUUCCGCCGGAGGAGGGGUCUGCGUUCUAUCAGCUUGUUGGUGAGGUAAUGGCUCACCAAGGCUAAGACGGAUACGGGGUGUGAGAGCAUGCCCCCGCUCACUGGGACUGAGACACUGCCAAGACACCUACGGGUGGCUGCAGUCGAGAAUCUUCGGCAAUGGGCGCAAGCCUGACCGAGCGACGCCGCGUGCGGGACGAAGGCCUUCGGGUUGUAAACCGCUGUCGAGGGGAAUGAAGUGUAGGUGGGUACUCCCAUCUAUUUGACAGAUCCCUGGAGGAAGCAUGGACUAAGUUCGUGCCAGCAGCCGCGGUAAAAC
rnacentral:rRNA from 1 species